GGUGUUACUCAGUGGUAAAGCGCUUGCUUAGAACAUGUGUGCAAGGCCCUGGGUUCAAUCCCCCGCACAACA
rnacentral:tRNA from 1 species